AGUUGAGAAGGCUCUGCCUUCAGCAUCUGCUACUCUAUGGAUCACCACGUUGACCUUCCUCUCCAUUCUGAACGUGUCCCACUCAUAGCCAUGGGCUUGGUUGCAGGAAGUGACCAUGUAAAGUAGACGAGCAGUGUUCUUUGGUCAAGACUGUCUAAGUAGCUGCAUUCCCUUGCUGGAGCCUCUGAGCUCUCAGAGCCUACGGAGAAGGAACUAACCUGCUCUG
rnacentral:snRNA from 1 species